UCAGGACCAACACCUCUCUCCAUCAGGACCAGAACCUCUCUCCAUCAGGACCAAAACCUCUCUCCACCUCAACAAGGCCCGCUCCUCCCCACUGACACUUUACCUCAGCCACAACGCAGACUCUAUGCAUUACAUAAUGGAGAUCACAGGAUGGUUGCACUGCCACGUCUACAGUAGCGCAGAAUGGACAGAGGAAACAUGAUUGGGCCUCAUGUUUUUUGCAGCCAACAUACAUUCUCCUACAGACUUUGGAUAGGAGGGUGAGUGAACAAGUAAUUCAUUGGUUGGAACCUACAUCCCCAAUGUUAGACGUACUAAAUCCUGCACACUGCUCCUUCAAAAUGGACAAUGUGAACAUAUGUCGCCAUUUUGUAAAUCUUGUUAUUUUCAGUUGAGAAUGUUUCAAAGUAAUCUUUAAAAAAUUCUAUUUACUUUUUGUUUCUACUGUUUAUAAGUAUGAUGUUUAAAUAUGAAAUGCUGUAUUCAUUAGUUGUUCUAUAAUUCUACAAAUAUUUUUAUAUAUAUAUAAGUUUUCAGAGUAAUUGUUUCCUACAGAACAUUUUGUGAUGUCAUUUUGUUGAGCCUGUUUGAUUGGAAAAUGUUAGAAAAAAGCUGUAAAAUAACAGUAUUCUAGCUGUAGAACUUUAGGUUCUGUAUUUAUGUUGGUGAUCAUACAAAUCUAAUAAAAAAAA